rnacentral:tRNA from 1 species
GUGUAGCUUAGUGGUAGAGUGCUUGUCUAGCAUGCAUGAGGUCCUGGGUUUGAUCCCCAGCAC